rnacentral:pre_miRNA from 1 species
CCUCCGUGCUGUUGUGACAUUCUAUGUCUAAUAUUAAACCGUUCGUUUUACUUAAAACUUUUAUGAUUAAUAUUUUUAUUGUUAUUAGAUUACAAAACAUAAAUACUUUAUAUGUGACUUAUAUUUUAAAAUUUUAAAUAAAACGGAUAGUUAUAUGUUGAAUACACCAGCCUACAACUAUAUUUAAA